CUUAGCAUAUCACUAAGCGGAGGAAAAGAAACCAACUGGGAUUGCCCCUAGUAACGGCGAGUGAAGCGGCAACAGCUCAAAUUUGAAACUGGCCUCGGCCCGAGUUGUAAUUUGCAGAGGAAGCUUUAGGCGCGGCACCUUCUGAGUCCCCUGGAACGGGGCGCCAUAGAGGGUGAGAGCCCCGUAUAGUUGGAUGCCUAGCCUGUGUAAAGCUCCUUCGACGAGUCGAGUAGUUUGGGAAUGCUGCUCAAAAUGGGAGGUAAAUUUCUUCUAAAGCUAAAUACCGGCCAGAGACCGAUAGCGCACAAGUAGAGUGAUCGAAAGAUGAAAAGCACUUUGAAAAGAGGGUUAAAUAGCACGUGAAAUUGUUGAAAGGGAAGCGCUUGUGACCAGACUUGCGCCGGGCUGAUCAUCCGGUGUUCUCACCGGUGCACUCUGCCCGGCUCAGGCCAGCAUCGGUUCUCGCGGGGGGAUAAAGGCCCUGGGAACGUAGCUCCUCCGGGAGUGUUAUAGCCCGGGGCGUAAUGCCCUCGCGGGGACCGAGGUUCGCGCAUCUGCAAGGAUGCUGGCGUAAUGGUCACCAGCGACCCGUCUUGAAACACGGACCAAGGAGUCAAGGUUUUGCGCGAGUGUUUGGGUGUAAAACCCGCACGCGUAAUGAAAGUGAACGUAGGUGAGAGCUUCGGCGCAUCAUCGACCGAUCCUGAUGUUUUCGGAUGGAUUUGAGUAGGAGCGUUAAGCCUUGGACCCGAAAGAUGGUGAACUAUGCUUGGAUAGGGUGAAGCCAGAGGAAACUCUGGUGGAGGCUCGCAGCGGUUCUGACGUGCAAAUCGAUCGUCAAAUCUGAGCAUGGGGGCGAAAGACUAAUCGAACCAUCUAGUAGCUGGUUACCGCCGAU
rnacentral:rRNA from 1 species